AGUUUGAUCCUGGCUCAGAUUGAACGCUGGCGGCAGGCCUAACACAUGCAAGUCGAGCGGUAGCACAGAGAGCUUGCUCUCGGGUGACGAGCGGCGGACGGGUGAGUAAUGUCUGGGAAACUGCCUGAUGGAGGGGGAUAACUACUGGAAACGGUAGCUAAUACCGCAUAAUGUCGCAAGACCAAAGUGGGGGACCUUCGGGCCUCAUGCCAUCAGAUGUGCCCAGAUGGGAUUAGCUAGUAGGUGGGGUAACGGCUCACCUAGGCGACGAUCCCUAGCUGGUCUGAGAGGAUGACCAGCCACACUGGAACUGAGACACGGUCCAGACUCCUACGGGAGGCAGCAGUGGGGAAUAUUGCACAAUGGGCGCAAGCCUGAUGCAGCCAUGCCGCGUGUGUGAAGAAGGCCUUCGGGUUGUAAAGCACUUUCAGCGGGGAGGAAGGCGUUAAGGUUAAUAACCUUGGCGAUUGACGUUACCCGCAGAAGAAGCACCGGCUAACUCCGUGCCAGCAGCCGCGGUAAUACGGAGGGUGCAAGCGUUAAUCGGAAUUACUGGGCGUAAAGCGCACGCAGGCGGUCUGUCAAGUCGGAUGUGAAAUCCCCGGGCUCAACCUGGGAACUGCAUUCGAAACUGGCAGGCUAGAGUCUUGUAGAGGGGGGUAGAAUUCCAGGUGUAGCGGUGAAAUGCGUAGAGAUCUGGAGGAAUACCGGUGGCGAAGGCGGCCCCCUGGACAAAGACUGACGCUCAGGUGCGAAAGCGUGGGGAGCAAACAGGAUUAGAUACCCUGGUAGUCCACGCCGUAAACGAUGUCGAUUUGGAGGUUGUGCCCUUGAGGCGUGGCUUCCGGAGCUAACGCGUUAAAUCGACCGCCUGGGGAGUACGGCCGCAAGGUUAAAACUCAAAUGAAUUGACGGGGGCCCGCACAAGCGGUGGAGCAUGUGGUUUAAUUCGAUGCAACGCGAAGAACCUUACCUGGUCUUGACAUCCACAGAACUUUCCAGAGAUGGAUUGGUGCCUUCGGGAACUGUGAGACAGGUGCUGCAUGGCUGUCGUCAGCUCGUGUUGUGAAAUGUUGGGUUAAGUCCCGCAACGAGCGCAACCCUUAUCCUUUGUUGCCAGCGGUCCGGCCGGGAACUCAAAGGAGACUGCCAGUGAUAAACUGGAGGAAGGUGGGGAUGACGUCAAGUCAUCAUGGCCCUUACGACCAGGGCUACACACGUGCUACAAUGGCAUAUACAAAGAGAAGCGACCUCGCGAGAGCAAGCGGACCUCAUAAAGUAUGUCGUAGUCCGGAUUGGAGUCUGCAACUCGACUCCAUGAAGUCGGAAUCGCUAGUAAUCGUAGAUCAGAAUGCUACGGUGAAUACGUUCCCGGGCCUUGUACACACCGCCCGUCACACCAUGGGAGUGGGUUGCA
rnacentral:rRNA from 1 species